CCACCACUAAGCCAGUGGUGAACUCCACAUACGCAUCCUUUGCUGAGGAUACGGUUAACGGAGCGCAAGCGACGUUCAACCUCAAAAGAAGCAGAGGGGGCUUAGUGGUGGGGUGACUGCGUACCUUUUGUAUAAUGGGUCAGCGACUUAUAUUCUGUAGCAAGGUUAACCGAAUAGGGGAGCCGGAGGGAAACCGAGUCUUAAUUGGGCGUUAAGUUGCAGGGUAUAGACCCGAAACCCGGUGAUCUAGCCAUGGGCAGGUUGAAGGUUGGGUAACACUAACUGGAGGACCGAACCGACUAAUGUUGAAAAAUUAGCGGAUGACCUGUGGCUGGGGGUGAAAGGCCAAUCAAACCGGGAGAUAGCUGGUUCUCCCCGAAAGCUAUUUAGGUAGCGCCUCGUGAAUUCAUCUCCGGGGGUAGAGCACUGUUUCGGCUAGGGGGCCAUCCCGGCUUACCAACCCGAUGCAAACUGCGAAUACCGGAGAAUGUUAUCACGGGAGACACACGGCGGGUGCUAACGUCCGUCGUGAAGAGGGAAACAACCCAGACCGCCAGCUAAGGUCCCAAAGUCAUGGUUAAGUGGGAAACGAUGUGGGAAGGCCCAGACAGCCAGGAUGUUGGCUUAGAAGCAGCCAUCAUUUAAAGAAAGCGUAAUAGCUCACUGGUCGAGUCGGCCUGCGCGGAAGAUGUAACGGGGCUAAACCAUGCACCGAAGCUGCGGCAGCGACGCUGAUGCGUUGUUGGGUAGGGGAGCGUUCUGUAAGCCUGCGAAGGUGGCCUGUGAGGGUUGCUGGAGGUAUCAGAAGUGCGAAUGCUGACAUAAGUAACGAUAAAGCGGGUGAAAAGCCCGCUCGCCGGAAGACCAAGGGUUCCUGUCCAACGUUAAUCGGGGCAGGGUGAGUCGACCCCUAAGGCGAGGCCGAAAGGCGUAGUCGAUGGGAAACGGGUUAAUAUUCCCGUACUUGGUGUUACUGCGAAGGGGGGACGGAGAAGGCUAUGUUGGCCGGGCGACGGUUGUCCCGGUUUAAGCGUGUAGGUGUGUGUUCCAGGUAAAUCCGGUUCACUUUAACACUGAGGCGUGAUGACGAGGCACUACGGUGCUGAAGCAACAAAUGCCCUGCUUCCAGGAAAAGCCUCUAAGCAUCAGGUAACAUCAAAUCGUACCCCAAACCGACACAGGUGGUCAGGUAGAGAAUACCAAGGCGCUUGAGAGAACUCGGGUGAAGGAACUAGGCAAAAUGGUGCCGUAACUUCGGGAGAAGGCACGCUGACACGUAGGUGAAGUGAUUUACUCAUGGAGCUGAAGUCAGUCGAAGAUACCAGCUGGCUGCAACUGUUUAUUAAAAACACAGCACUGUGCAAACACGAAAGUGGACGUAUACGGUGUGACGCCUGCCCGGUGCCGGAAGGUUAAUUGAUGGGGUCAGCGCAAGCGAAGCUCCUGAUCGAAGCCCCGGUAAACGGCGGCCGUAACUAUAACGGUCCUAAGGUAGCGAAAUUCCUUGUCGGGUAAGUUCCGACCUGCACGAAUGGCGUAAUGAUGGCCAGGCUGUCUCCACCCGAGACUCAGUGAAAUUGAACUCGCUGUGAAGAUGCAGUGUACCCGCGGCAAGACGGAAAGACCCCGUGAACCUUUACUAUAGCUUGACACUGAACAUUGAGCCUUGAUGUGUAGGAUAGGUGGGAGGCUUUGAAGUGUGGACGCCAGUCUGCAUGGAGCCGGCCUUGAAAUACCACCCUUUAAUGUUUGAUGUUCUAACGUGGACCCGUGAUCCGGGUUGCGGACAGUGUCUGGUGGGUAGUUUGACUGGGGCGGUCUCCUCCUAAAGAGUAACGGAGGAGCACGAAGGUUGGCUAAUCCUGGUCGGACAUCAGGAGGUUAGUGCAAUGGCAUAAGCCAGCUUGACUGCGAGCGUGACGGCGCGAGCAGGUGCGAAAGCAGGUCAUAGUGAUCCGGUGGUUCUGAAUGGAAGGGCCAUCGCUCAACGGAUAAAAGGUACUCCGGGGAUAACAGGCUGAUACCGCCCAAGAGUUCAUAUCGACGGCGGUGUUUGGCACCUCGAUGUCGGCUCAUCACAUCCUGGGGCUGAAGUAGGUCCCAAGGGUAUGGCUGUUCGCCAUUUAAAGUGGUACGCGAGCUGGGUUUAGAACGUCGUGAGACAGUUCGGUCCCUAUCUGCCGUGGGCGCUGGAGAACUGAGGGGGGCUGCUCCUAGUACGAGAGGACCGGAGUGGACGCAUCACUGGUGUUCGGGUUGUCAUGCCAAUGGCACUGCCCGGUAGCUAAAUGCGGAAGAGAUAAGUGCUGAAAGCAUCUAAGCACGAAACUUGCCCCGAGAUGAGUUCUCCCUGAGACUUAGAGUCUCCUGAAGGAACGUUGAAGACGACGACGUUGAUAGGCCGGGUGUGUAAGCGCAGCGAUGCGUUGAGCUAACCGGUACUAAUGAACCGUGAGGCUUAACCUUACA
rnacentral:rRNA from 1 species